rnacentral:tRNA from 1 species
GGCCAGGUGGCAGAGCGGCUAAAUGCACCGGUCUGUAAAACCGGCGGGCCAUGCCCUACGGAGGUUCGAAUCCUCUCCUGGCCACCA